rnacentral:lncRNA from 1 species
ACACGCAGUUAGUGGCAUCGCCAAGGGAACAUUGCCCAUCAUGUCUCUUUGGGCCUCCUGAUGCUCCACUCGAUGUGAGAAUAUGAGGAUCAAUCAAGAGAAGAGACUAACCUCGAGACAGAGCACUAAAUCGAGCAGAAAACAGGAAGGCCUGUGUUGGGCCUCCAUUUGCGUAAACCUACAGACGCCAUCAACUCCUCCAACGGCCAAGGCCGUUUCUGACCACAAGGGGGCGCCCGCAUCAUGCUUUAAUAUAGUACGUGCUUGGGAUGUUGAGAGCGUGGAAGACUGCAGUCUCAAAAUACAGAUAGGGAAACUGAGGCCAGGAGAAAGCAAAGGGUUCCUAAGUCAUUCUGGGCACAUGGCACAUAUGUGUGCACAUGCAUCUGGAAGCCAGAACUCAAUGGGCUCCUUCAUUGCUCUCCUCUGAGUAUUUUUAAAACAAACUCUGUCACGGAACCAGUGUAAAACUGCCUUGUCCACAAGCCCCUGGAAUCCACGCGUCUCUGCUUCCCCAGCCCUAGAAUCACAGAGAACACCACUGCAGCCAGCUGGUUAGAGGUAUAGACUGUUGCUAUCUAGAAUCAGAAGCUGUGGCAUACUGCAACUGUUUCCAUAGUUCCUGGAGGCUACUUUGUAUCCAUCUUGUUCAUCAAACCCUCAGCUCCUGCUUCACCGUAAGGAGCAAAGGAGAGAAUGGCUGAACUCCUUUGAACUCUUCAAGAUCCUGUUGUCAAUGUCUACAAGGGUUCUACCAAACCCCACCUCUUAAAGCUUCCACCAGAAGCUGAAGGCCAAGCCUUUGGCACAGGGGCCUUUGGAGAAUGCUUCUCUAAGCCAAAGCAGUGACUUACU